GUCUUGUCAGUGAUGUUAUCAAUAUAAAUGUCUGAACAUAUGAAUAUCAGUGAUUCUUGCUAUGUGACUGAGACAAGAC
ensembl:snoRNA small nucleolar RNA SNORD72